CAACCGAUCCUCACACGCCCAAUCCCUUCUCCUUCUCCCCUCUCAUGAUCCCCUUCAUCUCCUCCCCUCCCUCUCGCGACACAACCCGACCUCUUCGGCUCCUCCACCCGACGGCGCCGCCGCGACGCUUCCUCUUCUCUCUCGCAGACAAAAGGGGCGGCCAAAAGGAAACUUGGCACUUUUCUCCCGAGUCUUAGUCGACACUGAUCCCUCUCUGUGUCGCUAUUGGCCACCACAGCCUGACUCCGGUCGUCACCACCCGUCGCCACUUGUCACCGAAGCCGUGCCCUAGAUUUCCCCUUUGCUGCACAGCGCCGCGCCUAGGUGUCGCUCUCUUCCCGCACGGAGCAACGCCGACGUCGCAAAUCGAACCUAGCCGAGCAUCAGCUACACGAGCUCCUCUCCCUAUCUCCUCACUUUAGGCGCGACGCUCGGUGCCCUAGCUUCCAUCUUCGACACCGCCGAUGGGUUGCUGCUGACCAUGGAGAUAGAAGUUGGCCCCACAUCUUCAUCCCUGGUCCCUGUGCCCUAGACCGUCGACUCUUGGUGUCUCUUCAUCGCAGUACCAGCCGGUCUUCUCACGCCGCUUCUCACUGCUCUGGUUCACUACCACAAUAGCUUUGGGGAGGAGGUUACGAAUCUGGUUUUGGGGUAUCCAGUGUUGAAUCUCAAUUUGGUAGUGGCGAAUUCUUGGUCUUUUCUUAAUCCGAGCAGCGAGGUGAAUUUCCAGCAGGUGAGGUAUUGAUUUUGGGAAUCUAGGAAUUUGAUCUUGUUGUAGAUCUAGGUUAUAGGGUAGUUAGAUGAAGAAUGAAAUAUUUACUAGAUUUGAUUUAGGUUUAGACUUAAAUCAAAUUGUAUAGUGAAACAAUUAGAGUUAAGGAAAUUAACCCUAGUUGACCAAGGAACUAAAUUUAGGUAUAGUGAAUGAUCAUGUUGAUUAGGGUAUAAGUGGACCGUUGUUGAUCGCCGACACCCUACAGUCGAACGAUCCCUUCGCUCCCCCUUCCCGAUAAGUUCACAGAGCCAUCCGUGCCUCCUUUCAGGCGGGAUCAGAUCGUGCGACAAACUCUGGAGGUGACCAACAAGAUCCUGGUCCUCCUCAUACUUGCAGUUGGUUGAGGUCUCGAUUGAAGGUGCUGGGAAUCUUUUGAGGUGAGUGAUAUUCCAUGUGUUGAGUUUCGACAAAUUUCUGCUUACUGGUAAGACUUGGACUGAUUCCGAAUAGAACUUAUGGAUGUAUAAGUGCUCUUGGUAGCUGUCGACAGAGGUUUAUAAGGCGGUGAGCUUUAUAUUUUGACUAUAUCUUAAGGUAAGAAUGUUGUACAGUGAAGUAAAGAAUAAAUUGUUACUAAAAUUAUUUUAGGUUUAAAUUUGAAUCUAAUUAUAGUUAAUCGAUGGAUCUAAUCAAAGUUUUGGAUUAGACUCGAGUUAUGUAGCUAAUCGAGAUUACUAAAUGAAUUAGGGUUCCUGGUAAAUAAGAAUUUGAUUUGGCUAUUUGAUAUUUAUGGUAGUAGCUAAGUUAAAGGUGUUGAUACAUGAUUCUGAUUUUGCGACGAGCUACCUUACAUGAGAUUACAUUUGGCACGCAAUAUAUUGGAGGCAGAUACUUUGACUUAUCUUCUAAGAUAUUGUCAUUUGAUAUGCAUAGUAAUAUUUAACGAAUAGUAAUAUUUAUGUUCAUUUCUGCAUUGGUAUGUCAUUAUCUAUUACCUGAGCAUGCUGUAUUUAUUACCUGCUUUUGCAUUCAUGUUUCUUUGAUUAUUUAUGUCCUUAAGGUAAUAACAUACCAUACCUCAUUAUGUUCA